AUGCGAGUCAUUGUAGCAAUACAAGGCAGACGGCUCAGUAACGCGUAGUCAACCUAACCUAUGGACGGGAAUAACCUCGGGAAACUGAGAAUAAUGCCCGAUAGAACACUAUACCUGGAAUGGUUUGUGUUCCAAAUGAUUUAUCGCCGUAGGAUGGGACUGCGGCCUAUCAGUUUGUUGGUGAGGUAAUGGCCCACCAAGACUAUUACAGGUACGGGCUCUGAGAGGAGUAGCCCGGAGAUGGGUACUGAGACACGGACCCAGGCCCUAUGGGGCGCAGCAGGCGAGAAAACUUUGCAAUGUGCGAAAGCACGACAAGGUUAAUCCGAGUGGUUUGUGCUAAACGAACCUUUUGUCGGUCCUAGAAACACCGAUGAAUAAGGGGUGGGCAAGUUCUGGUGUCAGCCGCCGCGGUAAAACCAGCACCUCAAGUGGUCAGGAUGAUUAUUGGGCCUAAAGCAUCCGUAGCCGGCUCUGUAAGUUUUCGGUUAAAUCUGUAUGCUCAACAUACAGGCUGCCGGGAAUACUGCAGAGCUAGGGAGUGGGAGAGGUAGACGGUACUCGGUAGGAAGGGGUAAAAUCCUUUGAUCUAUUGAUGACCACCUGUGGCGAAGGCGGUCUACCAGAACACGUCCGACGGUGAGGGAUGAAAGCUGGGGGAGCAAACCGGAUUAGAUACCCGGGUAGUCCCAGCUGUAAACGAUGCAUGCUAGGUGUUGGGUUGGCCACG
rnacentral:rRNA from 1 species